GGUCCAAUGACCGCAUGCCAACUUCUCGUGUUAAAUCGAUUGUUCAAUAAGGACUUUGUAUCAAAUGCCACGACAGUUGUUUUUUUGUAACACAUGUUUUAGGUGACAACAUGUACAUCACAACAAUAAGAAUUUUAAAUCCUUUGUAUGGAUUGACAUAUCAGCAAGCUGCAAUAAGCUGAUGGAAUUCCUUUAUGUCUCAUACCAACCAAGUGUCAUCGGAAAUAUUGUAAGCAGUGUUUAAGGAAUACUCCAGCGGUCUGAGUUGCUGUAAUACUGUCAAGGUCAUAAUCAAUGAAUAUGAGUAAAAAAAGAUCACCAAAUCUGAAAUGGUGGAAUCAGCAUGAUGGAUUACCUUUUUCUGAAAUUUGGUUAGUCUCGCAGAAAAAAUGAGUGCUACAAUUUGUCAUGUUGAAAUGAGACAUUUGCUAAUGUCAAUAAAGUUUUCAUUCUGGGCUGAAGCCCACAGAACUAUUUUUCCAUACAGUUGGUGAACACGAAGAUAUGGUGGAUACUGCUGUAGUAAGACUGCCAAGACUAGGAACAUUCAACAACAACUUGUAAAGUCCUUGGAAGAUCUUUGUUGCCUAUGAGAUCAUUUGGCUUGUUUAUGGAGGUGAUGGUUUGGACCUACAUGGAAGCCAAAGAUAGCCUUGUGAAUUUUCAAAGAGCUCUUCAUAACACCAAAGCAGCCUUCUCUUGUGCUGACAAAGAUCUGUCAGAUCACAUUAAAUUAAAACAAGCUUUUAAUACAAUAAUGCAGGUUGUCCAAUUAAAUUGCUUGGAGUUGGAUUCACACAGCCUUAGGAUCUUAGCUCUAUCGGAAAGGAACACCUCUACCUAACCUGAAGUGUUCGUUUAACAUGGAUAAUUGGGUGUUUAUCUUUUACCAUGUUUGGUAAAUGAAGCUUUUCAAGUACAAGACCCUAGAAGGAUUGCACAGAUUAAUCUUUGAAAUCAAAUUGCCGAGGUAUUUCGCCUCGUCCGGCAACUUACCAUCCAGCAACGCAUCCAUCAACAGAAUGUAUCAAAGAGGAAAGUAAUUGACCAAAUGCCGACUCGACGAUUUCUAUGCAAGAUGAAUGUUAUAAAUCCAAGAAGAUCUGGUGAGCAGGAUGCAACGAACUAUGUCAUGUCAAACCAUUAGCUGAACACAAUGAAUACCAUCAGUUCCUCAGAACGAGAGGUUAAUAAUUAUACUGAAUCAAAAGAGGCAUCAAGUUAAACGAGAUUUUAAAAUGAUAACAGUUGGAAGCGCAUGUGGAAAUUUCGAAGAACGCUACCUAAACGUUACCUUUAGUCGCUGAUUCAUCUCGAAGAUAAAAUAAGCUAUUUUUAUAAAUUUAAGUGCAUAUCUGGGCUCCCUUCUUUUCUGUGGCCCUGUUUCCCCUUGACUUAUGAUAAGCCCGUAGGGGGUCAUGCCCCUACUGUGAUCAGCAGCAAAGGUUGUGAGUGCG
rnacentral:lncRNA from 1 species